AGAGUUUGAUCAUGGCUCAGAAUCAACGCUGGCGGCGUGCCUAACACAUGCAAGUCGCACGAGAAAGGGUAGCAAUACCUGAGUACAGUGGCGCACGGGUGAGUAACACGUGACUAACCUACCUCCGAGUGGGGAAUAACUGAGAGAAAUCUUAGCUAAUACCGCAUAACACUUACGAGUCAAAGCAGCAAUGCGCUUGGAGAGGGGGUCGCGGCAGAUUAGUUAGUUGGCGGGGUAAUGGCCCACCAAGACGAUGAUCUGUAUCCGGCCUGAGAGGGCGCACGGACACACUGGAACUGAAACACGGUCCAGACUCCUACGGGAGGCAGCAGUGGGGAAUUUUGCGCAAUGGGGGAAACCCUGACGCAGCAACGCCGCGUGGAGGAUGAAAUAUCUUGGUAUGUAAACUCCUUUCGAUGGGGAAGAUUAUGACGGUACCCAUAGAAGAAGCCCCGGCUAACUUCGUGCCAGCAGCCGCGGUAAUACGAGGGGGGCAAGCGUUGUUCGGAUUUAUUGGGCGUAAAGGGUGCGUAGGCGGUUUGGCAAGUCUUGUGUGAAAUCUUCGGGCUCAACCCGAAGCCUGCACAAGAAACUGCCGGGCUUGAGUAUGGGAGAGGUGAGUGGAAUUUCCGGUGUAGCGGUGAAAUGCGUAGAUAUCGGAAGGAACACCUGUGGCGAAAGCGGCUCACUGGACCAUAACUGACGCUGAUGCACGAAAGCUAGGGGAGCAAACAGGAUUAGAUACCCUAGUAGUCC
rnacentral:rRNA from 1 species